AUUGAACGCUGGCGGCAGGCCUAACACAUGCAAGUCGAACGAGUGGCGGACGGGGGAGUAAUGACUGGGAAACUGCCUGAGGGAGGGGGAUAACUACUGGAAACGGUAGCUAAUACCGCAUACAAUCAGAUGUGCCCAGAUGGGAUUAGCUAGUUGGUGGGGUAACGGCUAACCAAGGCGACGAUCCCUAGCUGGUCUGCGAGGAUGAACAGCCACAUGGGAACGGAGACACGGUCCAGCCUCCUACGGAAGGCAGCAGUGGGGAAUAUGGCACAAUGGGCGCAAGCCUGAUGCAGCCAUGCCGCGUGUAUGAAGAAGGCCUUCGGGUUGUAAAGUACUUUCAGCGGGGAGGCGUUACCCGCAGAAGAAGCACCGGCUAACUCCGUGCCAGCCGCCGCGGUAAUAC
rnacentral:rRNA from 1 species